rnacentral:rRNA from 1 species
GACGAACGCUGGCGGCGUGCCUAACACAUGCAAGUCAACGGGGGGAACAUGAAGUAUUUCGGUACGGAAUGCGCCCCUAGUGGCGAACGGGUGAGUAACACGUGGGCAACCUGCCCCAGACUGGGGGAUAACAUUGUGAAAACAGUGCUAAUACCGCAUGACAGGGUUCCGGGCAUCCGGGACCCUUGAAAGGAGAAAUCCGGUCAGGGAUGGGCCCGCGUCCAAUUAGCUAGUUGGCGGGGUAACGGCCCACCAAGGCGACGAUUGGUAGCCGAACUGAGAGGUUGAUCGGCCACAUUGGGACUGAGACACGGCCCAGACUCCUACGGGAGGCAGCAGUGGGGAAUAUUGGGCAAUGGGCGAAAGCCUGACCCAGCGACGCCGCGUGAAGGAUGAAGGUCUUCGGAUUGUAAACUUCUUUGAUCAGGGAAGAAAGAAAUGACGGUACCUGAAAAACAAGCCACGGCUAACUACGUG